AAGUCGUAACAAGGUUUCCGUAGGUAAGUUAUCACAGAAUCCUCAUUCGUCAUGGAAACAGUCGCUAACAUCUCUUCCAGGUGAACCUGCGGAAGGAUCAUUACAGUGUUCAGGCUUCGGCCUCAUUCACACCCCUUGUUGAACCUCUGGUUUCUUUGGCGAUGUCAUGGACUCGUCAGACUUUAACUCUGAUAAUGCGAUACUGUCCGAGUGAGAUUGAAUUAUUAAAACUUUCAACAACGGAUCUCUUGGUUCCA
rnacentral:misc_RNA from 1 species